UACGGGGGGGGCAAGCGUUGUCCGGAUUCAUUGGGCGUAAAGAGCGUGUAGGCGGCCAGGUAGGUCGGUUGUGAAAACUGGAGGCUCAACCUUCAGACGUCGACCGAAACCAUCUGGCUAGAGUCCGGGAGAGGAGAGUGGAAUUCCUGGUGUAGCGGUGAAAUGCGCAGAUAUCAGGAAGAACACCCGUGGCGAAAGCGGCUCUCUGGAACGGUACUGACGCUGAGACGCGAAAGCGUGGGGAGCGAACAGG
rnacentral:rRNA from 1 species